ACGGGAGGCAGCAGUGGGGGAUAUUGCACAAUGGGGGAAACCCUGAUGCAGCGACGCCGCGUGAGUGAUGAAGUAUUUCGGUAUGUAAAGCUCUAUCAGCAGGGAAGAUAAUGACGGUACCUGACUAAGAAGCACCGGCUAAAUACGUGCCAGCAGCCGCGGUAAUACGUAUGGUGCAAGCGUUAUCCGGAUUUACUGGGUGUAAAGGGAGCGUAGACGGCAAGGCAAGCCAGAUGUGAAAGGCUGGGGCUCAACCCCGGGACUGCAUUUGGAACUGUCUAGCUAGAGUAUCGGAGAGGUAAGUGGAAUUCCUAGUGUAGCGGUGAAAUGCGUAGAUAUCGGGAGGAACACCAGUGGCGAAGGCGGCUUACUGGACCACAACUGACGCUGAGACACGAAAGCGUGGGUAGCAAACAGGAUUAGAUACCCUGGUA
rnacentral:rRNA from 1 species